UUUGGGGCCUGGGCUCUUAAUCGAGAAGGCCAGAUCCAUCUUGCAAACAAAAGCUAUAGAUGACCAAGAACGAGAGGGGCUGCAGCUUAGAUAGCGAGAGGCCCGCCGGACGUGAGAGAGAGAGAGAAGCGGCAAUGGAAGUGGCAGUGCCAGUGCCAGAGCCAGAGCCAGAGCCAGUGGCAGAAUAAGGUUAAUCCAGUUAUUUUCUGGCUAGGGAUUCAGUCCAUCUAUGGUAGACUUCUUUCUCUCUAGUUAUUGUUUUAUACCCCAAGUUAUGCAGAAACGACAUAUAUAUACAUAUUUUGGGUAUCCUGAUUGGUAUGCAAGUUUGAGACUUGUGAGUCA
rnacentral:lncRNA from 1 species